AGAGACAGCAGUCGCCGCGGGAAUACGAAGGGUGCAAGCGUUACUCGGAAUUACUGGGCGUAAAGCGUGCGUAGGUGGUGGUUUAAGUCCGUUGUGAAAGCCCUGGGCUCAACCUGGGAAUGCAGUGGAUACUGGGUCACUAGAGUGUGGUAGAGGAUAGUGGAAUUUCCGGUGUAGCAGUGAAAUGCGUAGAGAUCGGAAGGAACAUCUGUGGCGAAGGCGACUAUCUGGGCCAACACUGACACUGAGGCACGAAAGCGUGGGGAGCAAACAGGAUUAGAUACCCCAGUAGUCCCUGUCUCUUAUACA
rnacentral:rRNA from 1 species